UGGGGAAUUUUGGACAAUGGGGGAAACCCUGAUCCAGCCAUCCCGCGUGUGCGAUGAAGGCCUUCGGGUUGUAAAGCACUUUUGGCAGGAAAGAAACGUCAUGGGUUAAUACCCCGUGAAACUGACGGUACCUGCAGAAUAAGCACCGGCUAACUACGUGCCAGCAGCCGCGGUAAUACGGAGGGUGCAAGCGUUAAUCGGAAUUACUGGGCGUAAAGCGUGCGCAGGCGGUUCGGAAAGAAAGAUGUGAAAUCCCAGAGCUCAACUUUGGAACUGCAUUUUUAACUACCGGGCUAGAGUGUGUCAGAGGUAGGUGGAAUUCCGCGUGUAGCAGUGAAAUGCGUAGAUAUGCGGAGGAACACCGAUGGCGAAGGCAGCCUCCUGGGAUAACACUGACGCUCAUGCACGAAAGCGUGGGGAGCAAACAGG
rnacentral:rRNA from 1 species